AAACGGGAAGAGCCCAAACCAACAAGCUUGCUUGUUGGGGUUGUAGGACACUCUAUACGGAGUUACAAAGGACGACAUUAGACGAAUCAUCUGGAAAGAUGAAUCAAAGAAGGUAAUAAUCCUGUAGUCGAAAAUGUUGUCUCUCUUGAGUGGAUCCUGAGUACGACGGAGCACGUGAAAUUCCGUCGGAAUCUGGGAGGACCAUCUCCUAAGGCUAAAUACUCUCUAGUGACCGAUAGUGAACCAGUACCGUGAGGGAAAGGUGAAAAGCACCCCGGAAGGGGAGUGAAAUAGAACCUGAAACCGUGUGCUUACAAGUAGUCAGAGCCCGUUAAUGGGUGAUGGCGUGCCUUUUGUAGAAUGAACCGGCGAGUUACGAUUUGAUGCAAGGUUAAGCAGUAAAUGUGGAGCCGUAGCGAAAGCGAGUCUGAAUAGGGCGUUUAGUAUUUGGUCGUAGACCCGAAACCAGGUGAUCUACCCUUGGUCAGGUUGAAGUUCAGGUAACACUGAAUGGAGGACCGAACCGACUUACGUUGAAAAGUGAGCGGAUGAACUGAGGGUAGCGGAGAAAUUCCAAUCGAACCUGGAGAUAGCUGGUUCUCUCCGAAAUAGCUUUAGGGCUAGCCUCAAGUGAUGAUUAUUGGAGGUAGAGCACUGUUUGGACGAGGGGCCCCUCUCGGGUUACCGAAUUCAGACAAACUCCGAAUGCCAAUUAAUUUAACUUGGGAGUCAGAACAUGGGUGAUAAGGUCCGUGUUCGAAAGGGAAACAGCCCAGACCACCAGCUAAGGUCCCAAAAUAUAUGUUAAGUGGAAAAGGAUGUGGCGUUGCCCAGACAACUAGGAUGUUGGCUUAGAAGCAGCCAUCAUUUAAAGAGUGCGUAAUAGCUCACUAGUCGAGUGACACUGCGCCGAAAAUGUACCGGGGCUAAACAUAUUACCGAAGCUGUGGAUUGUCCUUUGGACAAUGGUAGGAGAGCGUUCUAAGGGCGUUGAAGCAUGAUCGUAAGGACAUGUGGAGCGCUUAGAAGUGAGAAUGCCGGUGUGAGUAGCGAAAGACGGGUGAGAAUCCCGUCCACCGAUUGACUAAGGUUUCCAGAGGAAGGCUCGUCCGCUCUGGGUUAGUCGGGUCCUAAGCUGAGGCCGACAGGCGUAGGCGAUGGAUAACAGGUUGAUAUUCCUGUACCACCUAUAAUCGUUUUAAUCGAUGGGGGGACGCAGUAGGAUAGGCGAAGCGUGCGAUUGGAUUGCACGUCUAAGCAGUAAGGCUGAGUAUUAGGCAAAUCCGGUACUCG
rnacentral:rRNA from 1 species